rnacentral:lncRNA from 1 species
CUGAGAUUCAUUAAUGAACAAGUUCCGUCUCUCCAGAGGCUCCCAUCCUAGUGAAAGAGUCAGAUGAUUUGAACGAGACUCCGGAACUACUACAGCCAUCUUGCUACCAUCCCGAUGAUGCAACCAACCCAAAGCAGAGAGCAGAGCCAAAGGAACUGCAGAAAAGCAGUACCAGGAUAUAUUGUGGAUGGACUCUAAUCUACAUCUAAACUUCUUAUUAUACAGGAAUGCCUUACCUUGACUGUCUGGAGCCAGGAAAAAGGGAAGCAACCUUAUAUGAGGAAGGAGAACGCCAUGGCGGUGGUUGUAAAGUCGUGUUUGGAAGCUAGAUUUCUCUAGACCACUAAGGUACCCACUGAGAGUCUUCUUUGUGCCAGAUACUGUGCCAGCCAUCCUCAUGGGUUAACUCCUGAUUGUUCAUGUGCUAAUGACACCCAGCUCUCUGAAGGCCACACCUCUCCCUUCAGAUUCACACUUGUACAUUCCUAUGGUAGAUAUUUUAUAAAUAGUUCCAGAAUGAAUGGAUAAGUGAAUGAAUGCUUUUCCCCUAAAGUUCCAAGUGCAACAUAUCUAACAAUGAAAUCCUCUUUCAGCCUGAUCCUAUUCCUAUUUGUACUUGGUAAUACCCUCAAAGAUAAAAACCUCAGGGUCAUCCUUGCCUCGUCGCUCUUGUCUCCUUCACAUGAAGUUUCACUGAUUUUGACAUGAUAUUUCUUAAGUCUAUCCUCUUCUCCCCGAUCUCCACUCUUCCUCCCCUAACUCAGACCCAUAUCACCUUCUGCUUGGAUGCUGCC